rnacentral:snRNA from 1 species
GGAUGGGAGGGUGAUCUGGCUGUGCCAUCUGUCACCCCAGUGGUCCCCAGGGGGGAACUGGCUGAGCUGGCUGGCUAGGCAAAUGUGCCCCCUGCCCUGACCACUCCAUGCUCGUCCCUUCCAAAGCUGUGUGCUCAGUCAAAGAAGAUGGCCACCCCUGAUAGAGAAGGACCACUGCCCUGCUAGAACCUUGAACAAGCUCAGAAGGACAAGCACUUUGGAGGCAAAAAUCUGAAGGUUGAGCCCCUACGUAUGGUAUUAUGGCUAUGACC